AUGGAAGGAGCGUCCCUGCGUCACUUCCGGGGCGGCCCCUUCAGAGGCUCCGGUGACUCCUGGUUGGAGCCGAGAGCGGAAGUUCCCGCGGAGCCGGAAAUCCUAGUGGGGCGGAGUUUCCUUACCCUGACCCGGAGGAGACGGUCGAGGGGUGGUCUGUGGGCGGUGGGGGUCGGUGUUUAGGAAUGUUUUCUCUGUCAGUGCCCUCAAAAUACACCAUGACCCACCUUUGGAUGCAAAAAGGUGUAUCCAAAGCGUUUCCUAGCUCCCUCGAAGACUGACCAGGUAAAAGAAGCCCAGGCUUUGCAAAAGCACCUGUUUCUUUUAAAACUUCAUUUAGAUAUUCUGUCUCAUUAAGCAGCCCUGGCUAGCCUGGAGCUCAGAGAUCCAUCUGUCCCCGCCUCCAGUGCACUAGGACUACAGGCCAAUUUUUGUGACCCUCUUCAAAUUGUUCUUGCCAAUAUGUUUGAAGGCGUGAGUGUUCCUUGAGGCGCAAGUCCAAGCUUUGAGCUGCCUUGGGAAAGAGCCAAGCUAGCUAUGGUGUCGUCAAACUUACUGCACUCCAGGCUCCGCUGUGGGCGGUCUGCUUCCAAGAGGCAAUGAGGACACCUGCAGCUUACACCCGAGGAAACAAAGCAGAUUUCAACGCCCUCCUUAAACCGCCUGGCAAGACUUUUCUUUUCUUUUUCUUUCUUUUUUUUUUUUUGUAAGACAGGUUUUGCCAGCUCAAGGACUUUCUGACUAGAGUGGCCAGGUUGCUUAUUUUUUGCUUUCAAAUGCAGAACGGGGAUCCUGAGAGUCACAUAAAACGCAUAUCUUUUAUGAGCAGUUAGUUUGUUUGCGUUUUCUAGUCUAUAUGCACUUCUUAGAGGAAAAAAGUGGACUGAGACAGAUAAGCAAGAUAUAUCCAAACUACCAUAGGCUACGGUCAAUGUCACCCCUAACAUUUUCAUGUUUUCUCGGGCUCUCUUCUAUGCUAAUAUUCUCUUAUCAAAGCCAAAAUUAGAAUCACCUGAUGACAAUAUUGUGCCACCCAACUCAGUCACGUACAUUUUGUCGGGAUGCCUUAAAAGGCCCAGAAUGUUUAUGAAUACAGUUGGUUAGCAUCACUGAAGCCUUGCUUACUUUUUGUCAGGAGCGUUUAAACGCCGGAAUCACAACCUAGAAGCUUAGCGUGGUGGUUCACGCCUGUAAUCCUGGCACUCUAGAGGCUGAGGCCGAAUCAAGGCUAUUCUGGACUACAGAGUAAAACCCGGUCACUAUUAGGUUUCAAAAAAAUCCUGGGACGAGUCUCGCACGAUACCUGUGGCUCCUCUCAGCAGCCCUCACCCCGCCCCCUAUUCUAAACGUCUCCCUCCCAGGGGCGGGGCUUCUGCUUCUCUUCCCCAGCCUGAACCCUGAAGAGCUCAGCCGUUUUGGCUACACUGCUCUCUUAGCCCGGCCACCUCUCCUGUUGGCGGCUCCUCUCUUGCUCUCCCUCCACCUCCCUCUUUCUUCUCAUGGUCGGGUUUAGUCUGCCGGCCUUGUUCAGCUUGCUUUCUCCCUUAUAGCUACAAUAAAAAUUUUCUCCAUGCUUUAA